UCUUUUAAAUUUGUGCAAUACAAAUAGUUAAUUCAUGGUACGCUUGAGAAAAAUAAAAGUUUCAAGCAGCUCAUUAGUCAGCAAUACAAUCUCCAUUGAAUUAAUUUUAUAAACUAUAUGAUUUUGAAAUUUUCUACAUAACUGACUAAAUUUAUUAUAUCUUAUAAAUCCAAUAAUACGUAUUUUUAAAAAUAUAUGAUUAUUUUAGGAGUUGGUCGUGAGAAUCAAGAGCUUAGCGAUGACAGUGAAACUCAAUCUGACAGCACUAAUCUGAUCAGUUCCUCGACGGAUUACUCUGAUACGGAAUAUGAAAAUAGCGGUGAUAAGAAAUUGAUUUAAAAUGGUGACGACACUCUAUAUCCUGGAGCACUUUUAAUAAUAGUAGAAAGUAUUUUGUCAAUUUUUUCGCUUACGACACGAUUUGAAAUCACAGGAGCUUUAAUGACAGCUAUUCUGGAGAUAAUAGAGGCGCAUUUCAUUCGACCGAAUUAUUGCGUCAAAACUAUUUAUAAAUUAAAACAGUUUUUUGCGAAUAUUUCAUGUUCUUUAGUUAAACAUUUUUAUUGAACAAGAUGUUUAGAAAAAAUAGAAAAUGAAUGCAACAACUGCCUCGGUAUUGAAAAUCCAAAAAUAGAUUACUUUUUAGAAAUACAGAUAACAACGCAAUUAGAAUCAUUUCUAAAGCGCAAAAACUUGAAACAAAAUUUAAAUUACCAAUUCACACGAGUAAAACAACAUGUGAAUAAUUAUGAAAUAAUAAUUAUGAAAUAAUAUAUAUGAUGGAUCAACUUAUCAAUCAUUAUCGUGAGAGUACACAGAUAAUCCAAAUAAUAUUACUUUUACGUGGAAUCCAGAUGGAGUGCCUAUUUUUAAUUCUUCAAAAUAUAGUAUAUGGCCGUUAUAUUUAGUUACUAAUGAAUUGCCAUACCACUUGAGAAUAAAAAAAGAAAAUGAUUUUCUGGCUAGUUUAUGGUUCAGUGAUAAAAAACCAUCACCAAAUUUAUUCUUGCCUGUGUUUGAAAAUGACCAUGCCAAGCUUUACAGGGGGAAAUAUUUCAAAAUCCAUAAUGAAUAAAAUCUUAUCAAAAUUCGAGAAAUGAUACUUACCGGAACUUGUGACUUACAAGCCAAAGCUAGAUUUUUAAACUUGUUCCAAUAUAACGGGAGAUACGGAUGCAAUAACUGCGGAAUACAAACGGUUAGAGUUGACAAUGUACAAACGUAUCCAUUUGUUGAAAAUUUAGACAUUUUAGAGAGAACUGUGGAACAAACAAAAGAAUAUACUGCGCAAGCUCUUGACACAGAUGUACCUGUUAAUGGUGUAAAAGGGCCUACUGCAUUAAACUUACUAGUACCUAACUAUAUAGAAUCAACGGCUAUUGAUGAAAUGUAUAAUACGUAUCAAGGGGUUGUAACAAAUUUAAUGAAAUUUUUUUUUUUGACAUCGAUUAUAAUAUUCAUCCUGUAUCUUUAAUUCAUUUCGCCAAUAUUAUUGAUCGACAAAUAAAACAGUUGACUCUUCCAUCAUUUAUUCAACGAUUGCCUCGCAGUGUAUUGGAUUACGCUUUCUGGAAGGCCUCGGAAUUAAAAUCAUUUCUAUUAGUGUAUAGUUUACUUAUACUUCAAGAUUUUAUGAAUGAGGAUUACUUUCAGCACCACAUCUUGCUUGUGUACGGAAUGACUAUAAUGAAUUUAGAGAGCAUCAACAGUCAGAUGCUCAUAGAUGCUCAAGAGGCGUUAGACGAUUAUGUCAGGCAAUUCGAGUAUUUAUACAGCGAUAGAUAUCAUACAUGCAACUUGGAUCUUAUUUGUCAUCUUUCUCAAGUCAGAAAAUUCGUCCACCUUUUCUUUACUUCUAUUUUUCCUUUUGAAAACUAUAAUGCUCUUUUAUUAUGUUUAACUCGCAAAACUGCAAGUAUGUUUAGUGAUAGAGGAGGUCGUGAUAAAGGACAUUUUGGAAAUGUAACAUCUUCUAAUUCUGAACGAAUCAACUCAAGUGAAAAAGGAGGAUGUUACUGGAUGCGAAGAAGCUAAAAUUGAAAUCAUGGAGUUUGGUAAUUUUCUGAAAAAUCUUCAAGAAUAUUUCAACUUUGGAAUCAAAAUUGUCAAAGCAUCAUAUGUAUAAUUUUUAAGGUCCCUCUGAUACCUAUAAAAUUUUGUUAGCAAAAGCUACUGCCGGAGAAGCAGACGCGCCGUUACUAAAGGUGUCUGGUUCAGAAUUUCUCGAAAUAUUUGUGGGUGUUGGAAAUUCUCGUGUCAGAGAAAUGUUUGUGGUAGCAUUUUCUUUGACACAUUCAGACAUAGUGAGAAAUGAGGAAUGGCUUCACAUAAAUUUUACAAGUACCUUACAACCUGUUGAUACUGGAGAAGAAAUUACAGAUUUUGUGUGUUGCAAAAUACAGUUGAUUAUAGCAAAUAAUACAUCAAAAAGCAAAUAAAGAUUCACAGUCUUUCAAAGGAAUUUCAUUCAAAUUCCAUCAGUAUUCCAAAAUACCCAAAGAUGAUAAGCUUGUAAAUUAUUAUUCGUGCUGUUAUUGGAAGAAAAAAAUACCAAAGCAAGGAUAGUUGUAUUUAUUUGUAAAUCAUAUGUUUUUUAUGCUUAUAUUCUGUCAAAGAAAACGAAAUUAGUUAUUAGAUGGGAAGAUAUCUUAGAGUUGGAAAAAACAAUUUCCUUUGUAUUACCUGACAAUAUUCGUAUAGUUAUGCGUAAUAAUAAAGAGCAUUAUUUUUCAAUAUUUCUUCACAAAUCUGAAAUGUACUCAUUGAUGGAGCAGUUGACGAAUCUCGCGAUGAAAUGACUCGUAGAUAAUAUAAAGUGGUUUCAAUGAAGAUAGAGAUUUUCUUAAAAAUUGAGUAAGACUGUGCCUAGAAAACUUUCGUUUUUUCAACGAGAUCUCGAUGCAAAACUCCUCAUUGCGGGUAUACCACAAAAUCUUCGUGGAAAAGUUUGGCUGACAUUUUUCCGGACUUAAAUGAGAUGGUAAUAAAUACUGGAUUAUAUAAGUCACUUGUCGAUCAAUCGAUAGGAAAAUCGUAUCAAGCUAAUGAAGAAAUCGAAAGAGAUCUACAUCGAUCUUUACGGGAACAUCCAGCUUUUUAAUCGGAAACUGAAAUUAGUUAGUAUGAUUGUCAUUGUUAUCGUCAGCAACGUUGCUCAAGUAGCCGCUGAAACAACGGAUGAAGCAAAAUUUUUCAGAAGUACUAAUUAGUCUGGCGGAAGAACUUAUCAAUACUCCAUCUCGGUUAACAAGCAUAAACAUCCACGCAGGUAAUCAGUCUUGUGAGGAACCAAGCAUGGGUAGCUCGUACUUGAUAUUUUAUAACUAUUUAGUAUCAUUUAUCAUUGACUAUUUUGUAAUGACUGGCAUUUUCUGAAUUUCGUUGAAAUGAUUAGGAGUAUAAUUAUUCAAUGUAAUUUGGUACAUUCUGAACAUCAAUUUCUCUUUUAUAAGUCAAUUCAAUUUUAUUUUUUGCGUUAAAUUAAUUUUUGUUCAUCAUAUCAAUAUUUGAAUUGUGCAAGUAUGAUACACUCAAAGUGUUUUGUAGGAUU